UACGUAGGGGGCUAGCGUUGUCCGGAAUCAUUGGGCGUAAAGAGCGUGUAGGCGGUCCGGUAAGUCCGCUGUGAAAGUCCAGGGCUCAACCCUGGGAUGCCGGUCGAUACUGCCGGACUAGAGUUCGGAAGAGGCGAGUGGAAUUCCCGGUGUAGCGGUGAAAUGCGCAGAUAUCGGGAGGAACACCUAUGGCGAAGGCAGCUCGCUGGGACGUUACUGACGCUGAGACGCGAAAGCGUGGGGAGCAAACAGG
rnacentral:rRNA from 1 species